rnacentral:rRNA from 1 species
UGAGUGGCGGACGGGUGAGUAACGCGUGGGCAACCUGGCCUGUACAGGGGGAUAACACUUAGAAAUAGGUGCUAAUACCGCAUAACGGGGGAAGCCGCAUGGCUUUUCCCUGAAAACUCCGGUGGUACAGGAUGGGCCCGCGUCUGAUUAGCCAGUUGGCAGGGUAACGGCCUACCAGAGCGACGAUCAGUAGCCGGCCUGAGAGGGCGGACGGCCACACUGGGACUGAGACACGGCCCAGACUCCUACGGGAGGCAGCAG